rnacentral:rRNA from 1 species
GAUGAACGCUGGCGGCGUGCCUAAUACAUGCAAGUCGAGCGAACGGACGAGAAGCUUGCUUUUCUGAUGUUAGCGGCGGACGGGUGAGUAACACGUGGAUAACCUACCUAUAAGACUGGGAUAACUUCGGGAAACCGGAGCUAAUACCGGAUAAUAUUUUGAACCGCAUGGUUCAAAAGUGAAAGACGGUCUUGCUGUCACUUAUGGAUGGAUCCGCGCUGCAUUAGCUAGUUGGUAAGGUAACGGCUUACCAAGGCAACGAUGCAUAGCCGACCUGAGAGGGUGAUCGGCCACACUGGAACUUAGACGCGGUCCAGACUCCUACGGGAGGCAGCAGUAGGGAAUCUUCCGCAAUGGGCGAAAGCCUGACGGAGCAACGCCGCGUGAGUGAUGAAGGUCUUCGGAUCGUAAAACUCUGUUAUUAGGGAAGAACAUAUGUGUAAGUAACUGUGCACAUCUUGACGGUACCUAAUCAGAAAGCCACGGCUAACUACGUG